rnacentral:rRNA from 1 species
AUGGCGUCAGGAUGAACGCUAGCGACAGGCUAACACAUGCAAGUCGAGGGCGAGCACGGGAGUAGCAAUACUUGGUGGCGACCGGCGCACGGGUGAGUAACGCGUAUGCAACCUACCUAUCAGAGGGGAAUAACCCGGCGAAAGUCGGACUAAUACCGCAUAAAACAGGGGCACCGCAUGGUGAUAUUUGUUAAAGAAAUUCGCUGAUAGAUGGGCAUGCGUUCCAUUAGGUAGUUGGUGAGGUAACGGCUCACCAAGCCGACGAUGGAUAGGGAACUGAGAGGUUGGUCCCCCACACUGGUACUGAGACACGGACCAGACUCCUACGGGAGGCAGCAGUGAGGAAUAUUGGUCAAUGGGCGGGAGCCUGAACCAGCCAAGUCGCGUGAAGGAAGAAGGAUCUAUGGUUCGUAAACUUCUUUUGCAGGGGAAUAAAGUGCAGGACGUGUCCUGUUUUGUAUGUACCCUGAGAAUAAGGAUCGGCUAACUCCGUGCCAGCAGCCGC